rnacentral:rRNA from 1 species
CCUACGGGAGGCAGCAGUGGGGAAUUUUGGACAAUGGGGGCAACCCUGAUCCAGCAAUGCCGCGUGAGUGAAGAAGGCCUUCGGGUUGUAAAGCUCUUUUGUCAGGGAAGAAACGGUGUGAGCUAAUAUCUCAUGCUAAUGACGGUACCUGAAGAAUAAGCACCGGCUAACUACGUGCCAGCAGCCGCGGUAAUACGUAGGGUGCAAGCGUUAAUCGGAAUUACUGGGCGUAAAGCGUGCGCAGGCGGUUUUGUAAGACUGUCGUGAAAUCCCCGGGCUCAACCUGGGAACUGGCGAUGGUGACUGCAAGGCUAGAGUUUGGCAGAGGGGGGUAGAAUUCCACGUGUAGCAGUGAAAUGCGUAGAUAUGUGGAGGAACACCGAUGGCGAAGGCAGCCCCCUGGGUCAAACUGACGCUCAUGCACGAAAGCGUGGGGAGCAAACAGGAUUAGAUACCCUGGUAGUCCACGCCCUAAACGAUGUCUACUAGUUGUCGGGUUUUAAUUAACUUGGUAACGCAGCUAACGCGUGAAGUAGCCGCCUGGGGAGUCGGUCGCAAGNUUAAAACUCAAAUGAAUUGACGGCUGNGAGNGCGAGACGACGACGAGGGAGAGG